GGUUCGAUGGUGUAGUUGGUUAUCACGUCAGUCUAACAACUGUUAGCGCACUGAAGGUCUCCGGUUCAAGUCCGGGUCGAAUCA